GACGAACGCUGGCGGCGCGCUUAACACAUGCAAGUCGAGCGAGAAGCUUUUAAAGGAUUCUUCGGAUGAAUUUAAAAGUGGAAAGCGGCGGACGGGUGAGUAACGCGUGAGAAACCUACCCUGCACAGGGGGAUAGCCAUUGGAAACGAUGAUUAAUACCCUAUAUGACCACGAUGCCGCAUGGCAUAGUGGUAAAAACUCCGGUGGUGCAGGAUGGUCUCGCGUCUGAUUAGCUAGUUGGUGAGGUAACGGCCCACCAAGGCGACGAUCAGUAGCCGGCCUGAGAGGGUGAACGGCCACACUGGAACUGAGACACGGUCCAG
rnacentral:rRNA from 1 species